GCCCGGGUGAUGAAAUGGUAGACGUAGGGGACUCAAAAUCCCCCGCCGCGAGGCGUGCCGGUUCGAGUCCGGCCCCGGGCACCA
rnacentral:tRNA from 1 species